rnacentral:rRNA from 1 species
AGAGUUUGAUCAUGGCUCAGAUUGAACGCUGGCGGCAGGCCUAACACAUGCAAGUCGAGCGGUAGCACAGAGAGCUUGCUCUCGGGUGACGAGCGGCGGACGGGUGAGUAAUGUCUGGGAAACUGCCUGAUGGAGGGGGAUAACUACUGGAAACGGUAGCUAAUACCGCAUAACGUCGCAAGACCAAAGUGGGGGACCUUCGGGCCUCAUGCCAUCAGAUGUGCCCAGAUGGGAUUAGCUAGUAGGUGGGGUAACGGCUCACCUAGGCGACGAUCCCUAGCUGGUCUGAGAGGAUGACCAGCCACACUGGAACUGAGACACGGUCCAGACUCCUACGGGAGGCAGCAGUGGGGAAUAUUGCACAAUGGGCGCAAGCCUGAUGCAGCCAUGCCGCGUGUGUGAAGAAGGCCUUCGGGUUGUAAAGCACUUUCAGCGGGGAGGAAGGCGUUAAGGUUAAUAACCUUGGCGAUUGACGUUACCCGCAGAAGAAGCACCGGCUAACUCCGUGCCAGCAGCCGCGGUAAUACGGAGGGUGCAAGCGUUAAUCGGAAUUACUGGGCGUAAAGCGCACGCAGGCGGUCUGUCAAGUCGGAUGUGAAAUCCCCGGGCUCAACCUGGGAACUGCAUUCGAAACUGGCAGGCUAGAGUCUUGUAGAGGNNNNNGAAUUCCAGGUGUAGCGGUGAAAUGCGUAGAGAUCUGGAGGAAUACCGGUGGCGAAGGCGGCCCCCUGGACAAAGACUGACGCUCAGGUGCGAAAGCGUGGGGAGCAAACAGGAUUAGAUACCCUGGUAGUCCACGCCGUAAACGAUGUCGAUUUGGAGGUUGUGCCCUUGAGGCGUGGCUUCCGGAGCUAACGCGUUAAAUCGACCGCCUGGGGAGUACGGCCGCAAGGUUAAAACUCAAAUGAAUUGACGGGGGCCCGCACAAGCGGUGGAGCAUGUGGUUUAAUUCGAUGCAACGCGAAGAACCUUACCUGGUCUUGACAUCCACAGAACUUUCCAGAGAUGGAUUGGUGCCUUCGGGAACUGUGAGACAGGUGCUGCAUGGCUGUCGUCAGCUCGUGUUGUGAAAUGUUGGGUUAAGUCCCGCAACGAGCGCAACCCUUAUCCUUUGUUGCCAGCGGUCCGGCCGGGAACUCAAAGGAGACUGCCAGUGAUAAACUGGAGGAAGGUGGGGAUGACGUCAAGUCAUCAUGGCCCUUACGACCAGGGCUACACACGUGCUACAAUGGCAUAUACAAAGAGAAGCGACCUCGCGAGAGCAAGCGGACCUCAUAAAGUAUGUCGUAGUCCGGAUUGGAGUCUGCAACUCGACUCCAUGAAGUCGGAAUCGCUAGUAAUCGUAGAUCAGAAUGCUACGGUGAAUACGUUCCCGGGCCUUGUACACACCGCCCGUCACACCAUGGGAGUGGGUUGCAAAAGAAGUAGGUAGCUUAACCUUCGGGAGGGCGCUUACCACUUUGUGAUUCAUGACUGGGGUGAAGUCGUAACAAGGUAACCGUAGGGGAACCUGCGGUUG